rnacentral:rRNA from 1 species
UCGCCGCCCGYGACUCGGCGAGAAGUCCAUUGAACCUUAUCAUUUAGAGGAAGGAGAAGUCGUAACAAGGUUUCCGUAGGUGAACCUGCGGAAGGAUCAUUG